GUUGUAUGGUUAAGUGACUAAGCGUACACGGUGGAUGCCUUGGCAGUCAGAGGCGAUGAAAGACGU
rnacentral:rRNA from 1 species